GAGUUUGAUCCUGGCUCAGGAUGAACGCUGGCGGCCUGCCUAAUACAUGCAAGUCGAGCGAACGGACGAGAAGCUUGCUUCUCUGAUGUUAGCGGCGGACGGGUGAGUAACACGUGGAUAACCUACCUAUAAGACUGGGAUAACUUCGGGAAACCGGAGCUAAUACCGGAUAAUAUUUUGAACCGCAUGGUUCAAAAGUGAAAGACGGUCUUGCUGUCACUUAUAGAUGGAUCCGCGCUGCAUUAGCUAGUUGGUAAGGUAACGGCUUACCAAGGCAACGAUGCAUAGCCGACCUGAGAGGGUGAUCGGCCACACUGGAACUGAGACACGGUCCAGACUCCUACGGGAGGCAGCAGUAGGGAAUCUUCCGCAAUGGGCGAAAGCCUGACGGAGCAACGCCGCGUGAGUGAUGAAGGUCUUCGGAUCGUAAAACUCUGUUAUUAGGGAAGAACAUAUGUGUAAGUAACUGUGCACAUCUUGACGGUACCUAAUCAGAAAGCCACGGCUAACUACGUGCCAGCAGCCGCGGUAAUACGUAGGUGGCAAGCGUUAUCCGGAAUUAUUGGGCGUAAAGCGCGCGUAGGCGGUUUUUUAAGUCUGAUGUGAAAGCCCACGGCUCAACCGUGGAGGGUCAUUGGAAACUGGAAAACUUGAGUGCAGAAGAGGAAAGUGGAAUUCCAUGUGUAGCGGUGAAAUGCGCAGAGAUAUGGAGGAACACCAGUGGCGAAGGCGACUUUCUGGUCUGUAACUGACGCUGAUGUGCGAAAGCGUGGGGAUCAAACAGGAUUAGAUACCCUGGUAGUCCACGCCGUAAACGAUGAGUGCUAAGUGUUAGGGGUUUCCGCCCCUUAGUGCUGCAGCUAACGCAUUAAGCACUCCGCCUGGGGAGUACGACCGCAAGGUUGAAACUCAAAGGAAUUGACGGGGACCCGCACAAGCGGUGGAGCAUGUGGUUUAAUUCGAAGCAACGCGAAGAACCUUACCAAAUCUUGACAUCCUUUGACAACUCUAGAGAUAGAGCUUUCCCCUUCGGGGGACAAAGUGACAGGUGGUGCAUGGUUGUCGUCAGCUCGUGUCGUGAGAUGUUGGGUUAAGUCCCGCAACGAGCGCAACCCUUAAGCUUAGUUGCCAUCAUUAAGUUGGGCACUCUAAGUUGACUGCCGGUGACAAACCGGAGGAAGGUGGGGAUGACGUCAAAUCAUCAUGCCCCUUAUGAUUUGGGCUACACACGUGCUACAAUGGACAAUACAAAGGGCAGCGAAACCGUGAGGUCAAGCAAAUCCCAUAAAGUUGUUCUCAGUUCGGAUUGUAGUCUGCAACUCGACUACAUGAAGCUGGAAUCGCUAGUAAUCGUAGAUCAGCAUGCUACGGUGAAUACGUUCCCGGGUCUUGUACACACCGCCCGUCACACCACGAGAGUUUGUAACACCCGAAGCCGGUGGAGUAACCUUUUAGGAGCUAGCCGUCGAAGGUGGGACAAAUGAUUGGGGUGAAGUCGUAACAAGGUAGCCGUAUCGGAAGGUGCGGCUGGAUCACC
rnacentral:rRNA from 1 species